rnacentral:rRNA from 1 species
UACAGGGGGGGGCAAGCGUUUGUUCGGAAUUACUGGGCGUAAAGGGCUCGUAGGCGGCCAACUAAGUCCGACGUGAAAUCCCAAAGCUUAACCUUGGAACUGCGUCGGAUACUGGAUGGCUUGAAUUCGGGAGAGGGAUGCAGAAUUCCAGGUGUAGCGGUGAAAUGCGCAGAUAUCAGGAGGAACACCGGUGGCGAAGGCGGCCUGCUGGGGUGGAGCCGACACUGAGGCGCGACAGCGUGGGGAGCAAACAGG